CAGUAGCCGCGGGAAUACGUAGGUGGCAAGCGUUGUCCGGAAUUAUUGGGCGUAAAGCGCGCGCAGGCGGCCUAUCCAGUCUGUCUUAAAAGUUCGGGGCUCAACCCCGUGAUGGGAUGGAAACUAGUAGGCUAGAGUAUCGGAGAGGAAAGCGGAAUUCCUAGUGUAGCGGUGAAAUGCGUAGAUAUUAGGAAGAACACCAGUGGCGAAGGCGGCUUUCUGGACGAAAACUGACGCUGAGGCGCGAAAGCCAGGGGAGCGAACGGGAUUAGAUACCCCCGUAGUCCCUGUCUCUUAUACA
rnacentral:rRNA from 1 species